rnacentral:rRNA from 1 species
GACGAACGCUGGCGGCGUGCUUAACACAUGCAAGUCGAACGGUAAGGCCCUUCGGGGUACACGAGUGGCGAACGGGUGAGUAACACGUGGGUGAUCUGCCCUGCACUUCGGGAUAAGCCUGGGAAACUGGGUCUAAUACCGGAUAGGGCCACUGCCUGCAUGGGUGGUGGUGGAAAGCUUUUGCGGUGUGGGAUGGGCCCGCGGCCUAUCAGCUUGUUGGUGGGGUGAUGGCCUACCAAGGCGACGACGGGUAGCCGGCCUGAGAGGGUGACCGGCCACACUGGGACUGAGAUACGGCCCAGACUCCGACGGGAGGCAGGAGUGGGGAAUAUUGCACAAUGGGCGCAAGCCUGAUGCAGCGACGCCGCGUGAGGGAUGACGGCCUUCGGGUUGUAAACCUCUUUCAGCACCGACGAAGCGCAAGUGACGGUAGGUGCAGAAGAAGGACCGGCCAACUACGUGCCAGCAGCCGCCGUAA